CCCUUAGAUGUCCUGGGCCGCACGCGUGCUACACUGAUGCAUACAGCGAGUACUUUCCAGCUCCGCGAGGCAGCUGGUAAUCAGCAAUAUGCAUCGUGCUGGGGAUAGAUCUUUGGAAUUAUAGAUCUUGAACGAGGAAUUCCUAGUAAGCGCAAGUCGUUAGCUUGCGCUGAUUAAGUCCCUGCCCUUUGUACACACCGCCCGUCGCUCCUACCGAUUUCGAGUGAUUCGGUGAACCUUUUGGACAGCGUCUGUCCUCGUGUCAGAUGCUGAAAGUCAAGUAAACCAUAUCACUUAGAGGAAGGAGAAGUCGUAACA
rnacentral:rRNA from 1 species